UACAGAGGGCCCAAGCGUUGUUCGGAUUCAUUGGGCGUAAAGGGUGCGUAGGCGGCGCGGUAAGUCGGGUGUGAAAUCUCGGAGCUUAACUCCGAAACUGCAUUCGAUACUGCCGUGCUUGAGGACUGGAGAGGAGACUGGAAUUUACGGUGUAGCGGUGAAAUGCGUAGAUAUCGUAAGGAAGACCAGUGGCGAAGGCGGGUCACUGGACAGUUCCUGACGCUGAGGCGCGAAGGCCAGGGGAGCAAACGGG
rnacentral:rRNA from 1 species